rnacentral:tRNA from 1 species
GGGGUUAUAGCUCAUUGAUAGAGUGCUUGCCUUGCAUGCAUAAGGACCUGAGUUAGAUCCUCAGCACCA